CAGUAGCCGCGGUAAUACGUAGGGUGCGAGCGUUAAUCGGAAUUACUGGGCGUAAAGCGUGCGCAGGCGGUUGUGUAAGACAGGUGUGAAAUCCCCGGGCUUAACCUGGGAACUGCGCUUGUGACUGCACAGCUAGAGUAUGGCAGAGGGGGGUGGAAUUCCACGUGUAGCAGUGAAAUGCGUGGAGAUGUGGAGGAACACCGAUGGCGUAGGCAGCCCCCCUGGGCCAAUACUGACGCUCAUGCACGAAAGCGUGGGGAGCAAACAGGAUUAGAUACCCCGGUAGUCCCUGUCUCUUAUA
rnacentral:rRNA from 1 species